CAAAGAUACUCCCUUAGAGGGCAGAAAUAAUACUUCUCAGCGAGAUAAGCUUGUGUUGGUUGGAAGCCAGGGAACUUGCUUCCUCGCUAACUCAAAGAGGAGGUACCCAGAGUGCUCUCGGAGACCGAGAGAAACGCUUUUCUGGAAGGAAGCUACGUCUAACAUUGCCCUUUAAAGACCGGAGGGACAGUCUUCCCAAUAAUACAGGCGGGUUCUGUGGUUCCGAGGCAGCUCCAGCGGGCAGGGAGGCCGAAUGACCGGUCCUGAGGGCCUCCCGCAGUCUCCUGGACUGGACCAGCAAGCUUCACAUUUGGACAGAUUGUAGGACCCAGGGGCCAGGACUUUAAAAUGGAAUCGCCAGGAGAUCCUGCUUUUUGUGCCCAUUUCUUUGGGAAGGCGACAGCCUAACUCAGCAGUUUCAGGAAUAAAACAUAAUGAUUGAAUAUUUGCAUAUGUGGCAACAUGAUCAGCAUGAAUCUUCAUACAAAGGUCUGCAGAUGGAGAGGAGCUUCUUUGAGGAGCUACCCGCUGAGGUCUAGAAUCUUAAUGGCAUGAGAGUUUUCAGGAUUUGGCAAGAGGUAUUCGCAACCACACCCGACAAUGUAGAGGAGAAUCUACUGUAAAGAGUUCAAUAACCACAUCGACUCUGUGACUCAUGUUAUACCCUCAAAAAAUGUUCCAAAAAAGAAAAACCUUAUGAUAAAAGCAAAAUGCAUUGAAGUUCCUACUUGUCUGUGCCAAACUCUAGGUUUGCCAAACUCUAACUUCAACUUUUGGAAAGUUAAUAAUUGACCACGCAUGAAGCCAAUGUGGUAAAUAUAAAGAAAAUGUUGGCUAUUAUUGAUGCAAUUUUUAUGCAUUUGCAAUCCACAAAGAUUUGGAAUGCUAGAAAGGCAUGUGGAGGUGAACUCUGUAAGAAAGCAUACUUAGGAUGCCUCGGCACCAUCCUCUCCCUUGAUUUUUCUGGGUGAGAGGCUAGGAUGCUCAUCUCAUGCACCAUCAGAAUAUUGCAACUGUUUAAUAAAGAAGAGUCAGCAAACGGCAGGCCAGUCAUGCUCAUCAGUAAUUUACUGAAAUGCAUUGCCAGCACAAAUAUCCUGGAAUCAGCCAGCGUGCCCUUCAGCAGGUAAAUGUGCAAGCAAACUAUGGUAAUCCAUGCACUGGAAUAUUAUCCAGUGAUGAAAAAUAAAGGAGCCAUCAAGUUAUGAAAGAACAAGAAGGAAUAUUGUACAAACUCUGUGAAAUGAAAGAUGUUAAUCUAACAUGGCUGCAUACGGUAUCUUUCUAACUAUAGGACGUUCUGGAAAAGACAGAACUAUCGAAAUAGUAAAAUCUCAGUGGUUGCCAGGGAAAGGAGGCAGGAAUAAUUUGACGAGGCACAGGAGACAUUUAAGACAUGAAACUAUUCUGUAUGAUACAGUAGAGUGAAAGGUAUUAUACAUUUUUCAAAGUCUAUAGAAUGUACCACACUGAGUGAACCUCAGUGCAAACUAUGAACUUCAGCUAAUGAUGCUGUAUCAGUGUAGGCUCAUCAGGGGUAACAAGUGUGCUCCCUCUUGCAGCAUGUUCGUAGUGGAGAAAGACGAGGGCGAGCAUAGGGACUCUCUACUAUUCAAUUUGUUCCAUUUUUCAGCAAAACUAAAAUUGCUUUAAAAAAUAAUGUCUUCUUUUUGAAGGUUUUGUGUCAUGGUGACUGGCCUGGAUUUCUAAGAGGAAAUCCAAGAGGAAUUAAAAGGUCAAAGCUAAAUGGAACACAGGCAAAUUCAAAGGAGACUUUGCAUGCAAAAUAUGACAGAUGAAAAAAAAAAAUGGAGCUGUUGUCAUUCUUGGAUUGUCCGAGUCUUGACCAACAUGGACCGACCCCGUGAACUGUGGAUCUCCCAGCUCACUUGUGCGCACUCCUGAACCCGGGAUUGCAGAGGCCCAGCCCAUCUUCCUAGUCCACUGUAGAGAGGGGGGAUGGUGAGCAUGACUCAGGCCAGUUUCCUGUUCGGGAAGUAUUCGAAAAACUGUGUGUUUUCGUGAAGGAAGGAAAAAAGGAAGGAGGUGCUGGACUUCAGAGCUGAGACUCUUCCCUCAUUUCCAGCUUCUGUGGGUAUGUAUGAAAUCAGCCUCUUUCUCUCCUUAGCAGGGUAAGUUGUGCUUAGCAGCCAAUUAGCUGCAAGUGGAAUCUACACGCACGCUGACAUGGAGCCAGAGCUGCACAGCAGGCGCCGCGGAGGAUCGUGGGCUCUUGCUCAGAACGUUCUGCCCAGAGUAGACGUUUGUGUGAAUGUGUGGGGGUGGGGGGUAGGUUUUUGACCCCAACACGCCUCUCAAGACGCUCCAACUCUGUUCAAAUACUGAAUGUCUCACGAUGACAUGAUCACAGGUGACGCCUCAUCAUCCCGUUGUACUCACAGCCUCCCCUCUCCAGCUUCUAGACUCUCAUUCUUCAGUUUCCAAAUCCAAAGGCACCUCCUUUGUGAAACUGUCCUCUCCUCUCCAAAGCAGACCCAGUCCCGGGCCUGUGCGGCCUCAGCGUUCCUCUGAGGCUGUGGUAAUGAGAGCCACAAGCUCCGGGUUCGCCUGAGAGAAGGCGACCGCCGUGGCCCGAAGGACAGGAUUUGCCUUCUCAUCUCGUCACCACUGAUUCCCCCCAACGCAUUAAAGCAGGAUGGCAUCUGGUGUCUGUCGCUUCUCUGUGUGACGAGACAUGUCCAGUCAUGUGAUGCAUGUCUUGGGGUGUUUUUCUGAGGGUGCUGCCAGUUCCAUCUCUAGCACCCACCUUUAUCCACAGACCCAGAGAAACUGUGACAAACUGAGUCUGGGUUCCCAAAAGCACUCACUUCCACCAGAACAGAGAGCUUCACUUACAAUUCAAGUGCAGUCACAUACACGCGAUGUUAAUUUAUUGAUCACAAUGUGAAUUUAUUGGGGUGAUCCUUGCUACAACAAUGCAAGCAAGCAACUCAGUGGGCAGUUUGU